rnacentral:rRNA from 1 species
UUUAUGGAGAGUUUGAUCCUGGCUCAGGAUGAACGCUGGCGGCGUGCCUAAUACAUGCAAGUCGAGCGAACGGACGAGAAGCUUGCUUCUCUGAUGUUAGCGGCGGACGGGUGAGUAACACGUGGAUAACCUACCUAUAAGACUGGGAUAACUUCGGGAAACCGGAGCUAAUACCGGAUAAUAUUUUGAACCGCAUGGUUCAAAAGUGAAAGACGGUCUUGCUGUCACUUAUAGAUGGAUCCGCGCUGCAUUAGCUAGUUGGUAAGGUAACGGCUUACCAAGGCAACGAUGCAUAGCCGACCUGAGAGGGUGAUCGGCCACACUGGAACUGAGACACGGUCCAGACUCCUACGGGAGGCAGCAGUAGGGAAUCUUCCGCAAUGGGCGAAAGCCUGACGGAGCAACGCCGCGUGAGUGAUGAAGGUCUUCGGAUCGUAAAACUCUGUUAUUAGGGAAGAACAUAUGUGUAAGUAACUGUGCACAUCUUGACGGUACCUAAUCAGAAAGCCACGGCUAACUACGUGCCAGCAGCCGCGGUAAUACGUAGGUGGCAAGCGUUAUCCGGAAUUAUUGGGCGUAAAGCGCGCGUAGGCGGUUUUUUAAGUCUGAUGUGAAAGCCCACGGCUCAACCGUGGAGGGUCAUUGGAAACUGGAAAACUUGAGUGCAGAAGAGGAAAGUGGAAUUCCAUGUGUAGCGGUGAAAUGCGCAGAGAUAUGGAGGAACACCAGUGGCGAAGGCGACUUUCUGGUCUGUAACUGACGCUGAUGUGCGAAAGCGUGGGGAUCAAACAGGAUUAGAUACCCUGGUAGUCCACGCCGUAAACGAUGAGUGCUAAGUGUUAGGGGGUUUCCGCCCCUUAGUGCUGCAGCUAACGCAUUAAGCACUCCGCCUGGGGAGUACGACCGCAAGGUUGAAACUCAAAGGAAUUGACGGGGACCCGCACAAGCGGUGGAGCAUGUGGUUUAAUUCGAAGCAACGCGAAGAACCUUACCAAAUCUUGACAUCCUUUGACAACUCUAGAGAUAGAGCCUUCCCCUUCGGGGGACAAAGUGACAGGUGGUGCAUGGUUGUCGUCAGCUCGUGUCGUGAGAUGUUGGGUUAAGUCCCGCAACGAGCGCAACCCUUAAGCUUAGUUGCCAUCAUUAAGUUGGGCACUCUAAGUUGACUGCCGGUGACAAACCGGAGGAAGGUGGGGAUGACGUCAAAUCAUCAUGCCCCUUAUGAUUUGGGCUACACACGUGCUACAAUGGACAAUACAAAGGGCAGCGAAACCGCGAGGUCAAGCAAAUCCCAUAAAGUUGUUCUCAGUUCGGAUUGUAGUCUGCAACUCGACUACAUGAAGCUGGAAUCGCUAGUAAUCGUAGAUCAGCAUGCUACGGUGAAUACGUUCCCGGAUCUUGUACACACCGCCCGUCACACCACGAGAGUUUGUAACACCCGAAGCCGGUGGAGUAACCUUUUAGGAGCUAGCCGUCGAAGGUGGGACAAAUGAUUGGGGUGAAGUCGUAACAAGGUAGCCGUAUCGGAAGGUGCGGCUGGAUCACCUCCUUU